rnacentral:rRNA from 1 species
UACGUAGGGGGCAAACGUUGUCCGGAUUUACUGGGUGUAAAGGGUGCUCAGGCGGCUUUGUAAGUCAGAAGUGAAAUCCUAGAGCUUAACUCUGGAACUGCUUUUGAUACUGCAAAGCUUGAAUGUGGAAGAGGAUGAUGGAAUUUCUGGUGCAGCAGUGAAAUGCGUAGAUAUCAGAAAGAACACCAGUGGCGAAGGCGGUCAUCUGGUCCACUAUUGACGCUAAAGCACGAAAGCGUGGGGAGCAAACAGG